rnacentral:miRNA from 1 species
UAACACUUUAAUCAAUGGAUGCUUGCAAUGGAAACAUAGGGAAGAGGCUAUGAAAUUGAUUGAUGAAAUGAAGGAGAAGGGGAUAAAGAAGAAUGCAGUUACUCACAAUAUAAUUAUAAAGUG